UUUGUCUUUAUUUAUUUAUUUAUAAAUACAUUCACAGCAAGUUAGCUUAUUGUGUCUUUAUUUAUUUAUAAAUACAUUCACAGCAAGUUAGCUUAUCGUGUCUUUAUUUAUUUAUAAAUACAUUCACAGCAAAUCUGCUUAUCGAUGAUAAUCGUCUAUUUUACAACACUACUCAUAGGCAGUGGUAAUAAAUACUUUGUGCAUAAUGUAUUGCAGUCUAUUUUA